rnacentral:rRNA from 1 species
CUGGCGGCGUGCCUAACACAUGCAAGUUGAGCGGUAAGGCCCCUUCGGGGUGUACACGAGCAGCGAACGGGUGAGUAUCGCGUGGGUAACCUACCCAGAGGUGGGGGAUAGCCCCGGGAAACCGGGGGUAAUUCCGCAUGAGUCCUCGGUGACACAAGUCGCCGCGGGGAAAGGCGGGGAUCCUUCGGGACCUGUCGCCUCUGGAUGGGCCCGCGUCCGAUUAGCUAGUUGGUAGGGUAAUGGCCUACCAAGGCGACGAUCGGUAGCCGGCCUGAGAGGGUGAACGGCCACAUUGGGACUGAGACACGGCCCAGACUCCUACGGGAGGCAGCAGCAGGGAAUAUUGCGCAAUGGGUGAAAGCCUGACGCAGCAACGCCGCGUGGGGGAUGAAGGCCCUCGGGUCGUAAACCCCUUUUCUCAGGGAAGAUAAUGACGGUACCUGAGGAAUAAGUCUCGGCUAACUACGUGCCAGCAGCCGCGGUAAGACGUAGGAGGCGAGCGUUAUCCGGAAUUAUUGGGCGUAAAGGGCGUGUAGGCGGCUCUUCAAGUCUUUGGUGAAAUCUCCCGGCUUAACCGGGAGGGUGCCAGGGAAACUGGAGGGCUUGAGGGCAGCAGAGGGGGGUGGAAUUCCCGGUGUAGUGGUGAUAUGCGUAGAUAUCGGGAGGAACACCAGUGGCGAAGGCGGCCCCCUGGGCUGUUCCUGACCUGA